AUCGAACGCUGGCGGCAGGCCUAACACAUGCAAGUCGAACGAGUGGCGGACGGGCGUGCAAUGUCUGGGAAACUGGCUGAUGGAGGGGGCUACUUACUGGAAACGGUAGAUACUACUGCAUACCAUCAGUUGUGCCCUUACGGGAUUAGCUUGUUGGUGGGGCAACGGCUCACCAAGGCGACGAUCCCUAGCUGGUCUGAGAGGAUGACCAGCCACACUGGAACUGAGACACGGUCCAGAAUCCUACGCGAGGCAGCAGUGGGGAAUAUUGGACAAUGGACGCAAGCCUGAUGCAGCCAUGCCGCGUGUAUGAAGAAGGUCUUCGGGUUGUAAAUUACUUUCAGCGGGGAGGCGUUACCCGCAGAAGAAGCACCGGCUAACUCCGUGCCAGCAGCCGCGGUAAUAC
rnacentral:rRNA from 1 species